rnacentral:rRNA from 1 species
UACGGAAGGGGCUAGCGGUGUUCGGAAUUACUGGGAGGAAAGAGCGCGUAGGCGGCUUACCAAGUUGGGGGUGAAAUCCCGGAGCUCAAAUCCGGAACUGCCUUCAAAACUGGUAGGCUCGAGUCCGGAAGAGGGGCGUGGAAUUCCCAGUGUAGAGGUGAAAUUCGUAGAUAUUGGGAAGAACACCGGUGGCGAAGGCGGCGCCCUGGCCCGGUACUGACGCUGAGGCGCCAAAGCGUGGCGAGCAAACAGG